rnacentral:lncRNA from 1 species
CGAGGCUUCAGUGAGCCAAGAUUGCACCACUGCAUUCCAGCCUGGGCAACAGAGGGAGACUCCAUCUCAAAAAAAAAAAAAAAAAAAAGAAACAAAAGUCAAAGUGGCCAAGGAAGGAAAUAGAAACACAGAAAGACAAACUUGUAAAAACACAAUUCCCAGUUAAAAACAAAACCCAAAUGAAAGUGCCAACAAACAGAAAUGAUGUCGCCAAAAGUCACAUUGGUAAAACCUGGAAGAUCAAAUCGAGGAAGGACCACAGAUCUUAGAGAGGAGAAGAGGGGAAUCGCUCAGCGGCCUGGAGCCUUGAGCCUGGAGACAACACAUUCAUCUGUUAGGAUUUCGGAAGAGAAAGGUGGAGAGUCUGUGAGAGAAAAAAGAAAACACUGAAGAACUUUGAGAAGACUGAAGACUUCAGGUCGAAACUCUGCACCAAGGGCCGGAAAGGACGAUUGGAAAAAGAAAUACAUCCAAAUUGGAGAAAAUGUGAGCAAGCCAGGGAGACAGACCCCACGGUGGACAACGAGCAGCGGGGACAGACGCCACGGAGAACAGUAAGCCGGGGGUACAGACUCCACAGAGGACAGUGAGCCAGGGGGACAGAGGACAGCAAGCCGGGGAGACAGACCCCACGGAGGACAGCGAGCAGCGGGGACAGACCCCACGGAGGACAGCAAACCGGGGGACAGACCCCACGAAGGACAGCGAGCCGGGGGGACAGAACACACGGAGGACAGCAACCAGCGGGGACAGACCCCACGGAGGACAGCAAGCCGGGGGUACAGACCCCACGGAGGACAGCGAGCAGCGGGGACAGACCCCACGGAGGACAGCGAGCCGGGGGACAGACCCUACGGAGGACAGCGAGCAGCAGGCACAGAUCCCAUGGAGAACAGCGAGCCAGGGGGACAGACCCCAAGGAGGACAGCGAGCCAGGGGGCACAGACCCCACCGAGGACAGUGAGCCGGGGGGCACAGAUCCCACGGAGGACAGUGAGCCGGGGGGACAGACCCCACGGAGGACAGCGAGCCAGGGGAACACACCCAAG